GACGAACGCUGGCGGCGUGCCUAAUACAUGCAAGUAGAACGCUGAAGGAGGAGCUUGCUUCUCUGGAUGAGUUGCGAACGGGUGAGUAACGCGUAGGUAACCUGCCUGGUAGCGGGGGAUAACUAUUGGAAACGAUAGCUAAUACCGCAUAAUAGUAGAUGUUGCAUGACAUUUUCUUAAAAGGUGCAAUUGCAUCCCUACCAGAUGGACCUGCGUUGUAUUAGCUAGUUGGUGAGGUAACGGCUCACCAAGGCAACGAUACAUAGCCGACCUGAGAGGGUGAUCGGCCACACUGGGACUGAGACACGGCCCAGACUCCUACGGGAGGCAGCAGGAGGGAAUCUUCGGAAAUGGACGGAAGUCUGACCGAGCAACGCCGCGUGAGGGAAGAAGGUUUUCGGAUCGUAAAGCUCUGUUGUAAGAGAAGAACGAGUGUGAGAGUGGAAAGUUCACACUGUGACGGUAUCUUACCAGAAAGGGACGGCUAACUACGUG
rnacentral:rRNA from 1 species